AUUGAACGCUGGCGGCAUGCCUUACACAUGCAAGUCGAACGGUAACGCGGGGCAACCUGGCGACGAGUGGCGAACGGGUGAGUAAUGUAUCGGAACGUGCCCAGCUGUGGGGGAUAACUGCUCGAAAGAGCAGCUAAUACCGCAUACGACCUGAGGGUGAAAGCGGGGGAUCGCAAGACCUCGCGCAAUUGGAGCGGCCGAUAUCGGAUUAGGUAGUUGGUGGGGUAAAGGCUCACCAAGCCAACGAUCUGUAGCUGGUCUGAGAGGACGACCAGCCACACUGGGACUGAGACACGGCCCAGACUCCUACGGGAGGCAGCAGUGGGGAAUUUUGGACAAUGGACGCAAGUCUGAUCCAGCCAUGCCGCGUGCGGGAAGAAGGCCUUCGGGUUGUAAACCGCUUUUGUCAGGGAAGAAACGCUCUGGGUUAAUACCUCGGGGUAAUGACGGUACCUGAAGAAUAAGCACCGGCUAACUACGUGCCAGCCGCCGCGGUAACAC
rnacentral:rRNA from 1 species